AAGGCGGGCUGGAAUCUCUCGGGGUUACAGCCUUGCUGAAUUAUUCACCCUUGUCUUUUGCGUACUUCUUGUUUCCUUGGUGGGUUCGCCCACCACUAGGACAAACAUAAACCUUUUGUAAUUGCAAUCAGCGUCAGUAACAAAUUAAUAAUUACAACUUUCAACAACGGAUCUCUUGGUUCUGGCAUCGAUGAAGAACGCAGCGAAAUGCGAUAAGUAGUGUGAAUUGCAGAAUUCAGUGAAUCAUCGAAUCUUUGAACGCACAUUGCGCCCUUUGGUAUUCCAAAGGGCAUGCCUGUUCGAGCGUCAUUUGUACCCUCAAGCUUUGCUUGGUGUUGGGCGUCUUGUCUCUAGCUUUGCUGGAGACUCGCCUUAAAGUAAUUGGCAGCCGGCCUACUGGUUUCGGAGCGCAGCACAAGUCGCACUCUCUAUCAGCAAAGGUCUAGCAUCCAUUAAGCCUUUUUUCCACUUUUGACCUCGGAUCAGGUAGGGAUACCCGCUGAACUUAAGCAUAUCAAUAAGCGGAGGAA
rnacentral:rRNA from 1 species